CAGCCGCCGCGGUAAUACGUAGGUCCCGAGCGUUGUCCGGAUUUAUUGGGCGUAAAGCGAGCGCAGGCGGUUAGAUAAGUCUGAAGUUAAAGGCUGUGGCUUAACCAUAGUACGCUUUGGAAACUGUUUAACUUGAGUGCAAGAGGGGAGGGCGGAAUUCCAUGUGUAGCGGUGAAAUGCGUAGAUAUAUGGAGGAACACCGGUGGCGAAAGCGGCUCUCUGGCUUGUAACUGACGCUGAGGCUCGAAAGCGUGGGGAGCAAACAGGAUUAGAUACCCCAGUAGUCCCUGUCUCUUAUACA
rnacentral:rRNA from 1 species